GACAGAGGGUGCAAACGUUGUUCGGAAUUACUGGGCGUAAAGCGCGUGUAGGCGGUUAGGCAAGUCGGAUGUGAAAUCCCGUGGCUCAACUACGGAAGUGCACCCGAAACUGCUUAACUUGAGUCCCGGAGAGGAAGGCGGAAUGCUUGGUGUAGAGGUGAAAUUCGUAGAUAUCAAGCGGAACACCGGUGGCGAAGGCGGCCUUCUGGACGAGGACUGACGCUGAGACGCGAAAGCGUGGGGAGCGAACAGG
rnacentral:rRNA from 1 species